rnacentral:sRNA from 1 species
UACAACUCCUGGUUCGAACACACGGAGAACUGGCUCAAGGUCAUCAAGUCUGGGAAGCACAACGUUCAUGUUGUUUUCUACGAAGAUUUCCAAUCAGAUUUCAAGGAUGCUUGCAGAAAACUGGCAGAUUUUCUGGAAGUCCCGUGCAGUCCAGAACUCAUUGACGCCAUCCACAGAGAAACAUCUUUUGCCAAUAUGAAGCAAAAUAAAGAAGACUUCUGUCUGCAUCUCAGUAAAAAUGGACAGUCUCCCAUUUACAGAAAAGGUGAGGUGGGGGACUGGCAGAACUGGUUCACGUCUGAACAGAUUGACCUGAUUGACCAGGAGAUGGAGUCCUGGGGCUUACACACUGACCCCAGGAUCAGGUGUCUCAUCGACACUACUUCUGCCACCCCGACGUGAUAGUCACACACACACAAGUCCAUAAAAUAACUCUCAUUCAAUCAGUCUCAUUGAGAAGUCACCUCUGUAUCAAGCGUAUUUGGAAACAACCGAUAUUGCUUCGACGAACAACCAUUGUGUAUCCACGACAAUAACACACCUAACAGAACUUUAGUUUUUAUAGAUGUUUGUAUGAAAUGUAUAUUUUAGAUCAAGAUUUUUUUUACUAUCUGGUUGAAAUACUUCGAACUAAUGAUGUACAUAUGCUUAACAUUUCCUGUACGUAUUUAUGCACAAAUGUAAAAGCUAAAUAGAAACGAACAACUUU